rnacentral:rRNA from 1 species
CCUACGGAGGCUGCAGUGGGGAAUAUUGGUCAAUGGGCGCGAGCCUGAACCAGCCAAGUCGCGUGAGGGAAGACGGUCCUAUGGAUUGUAAACCUCUUUUGUCGGGGAGCAAAAGACGCCACGUGUGGCGUUCCGAGAGUACCCGAAGAAAAAGCAUCGGCUAACUCCGUGCCAGCAGCCGCGGUAAUACGGAGGAUGCGAGCGUUAUCCGGAUUUAUUGGGUUUAAAGGGUGCGCAGGCGGAAGAUCAAGUCAGCGGUAAAAUUGAGAGGGUCAACCUCUUCGAGCCGUUGAAACUGGUUUUCUUGAGUGAGCGAGAAGUAUGCGGAAUGCGUGGUGUAGCGGUGAAAUGCAUAGAUAUCACGCAGAACUCCGAUUGCGAAGGCAGCAUACCGGCGCUCAACUGACGCUCAUGCACGAAAGUGUGGGUAUCGAACAGGAUUAGAUACCCGAGUAGUC